AAAUGCCCUGCUUCCAGGAAAAGCCUCUAAGCAUCAGGUAACAUCAAAUCGUACCCCAAACCGACACAGGUGGUCAGGUAGAGAAUACCAAGGCGCUUGAGAGAACUCGGGUGAAGGAACUAGGCAAAAUGGUGCCGUAACUUCGGGAGAAGGCACGCUGACACGUAGGUGAAGUGAUUUACUCAUGGAGCUGAAGUCAGUCGAAGAUACCAGCUGGCUGCAACUGUUUAUUAAAAACACAGCACUGUGCAAACACGAAAGUGGACGUAUACGGUGUGACGCCUGCCCGGUGCCGGAAGGUUAAUUGAUGGGGUCAGCGCAAGCGAAGCUCCUGAUCGAAGCCCCGGUAAACGGCGGCCGUAACUAUAACGGUCCUAAGGUAGCGAAAUUCCUUGUCGGGUAAGUUCCGACCUGCACGAAUGGCGUAAUGAUGGCCAGGCUGUCUCCACCCGAGACUCAGUGAAAUUGAACUCGCUGUGAAGAUGCAGUGUACCCGCGGCAAGACGGAAAGACCCCGUGAACCUUUACUAUAGCUUGACACUGAACAUUGAGCCUUGAUGUGUAGGAUAGGUGGGAGGCUUUGAAGUGUGGACGCCAGUCUGCAUGGAGCCGACCUUGAAAUACCACCCUUUAAUGUUUGAUGUUCUAACGUGGACCCGUAAUCCGGGUUGCGGACAGUGUCUGGUGGGUAGUUUGACUGGGGCGGUCUCCUCCUAAAGAGUAACGGAGGAGCACGAAGGUUGGCUAAUCCUGGUCGGACAUCAGGAGGUUAGUGCAAUGGCAUAAGCCAGCUUGACUGCGAGCGUGACGGCGCGAGCAGGUGCGAAAGCAGGUCAUAGUGAUCCGGUGGUUCUGAAUGGAAGGGCCAUCGCUCAACGGAUAAAAGGUACUCCGGGGAUAACAGGCUGAUACCGCCCAAGAGUUCAUAUCGACGGCGGUGUUUGGCACCUCGAUGUCGGCUCAUCACAUCCUGGGGCUGAAGUAGGUCCCAAGGGUAUGGCUGUUCGCCAUUUAAAGUGGUACGCGAGCUGGGUUUAGAACGUCGUGAGACAGUUCGGUCCCUAUCUGCCGUGGGCGCUGGAGAACUGAGGGGGGCUGCUCCUAGUACGAGAGGACCGGAGUGGACGCAUCACUGGUGUUCGGGUUGUCAUGCCAAUGGCACUGCCCGGUAGCUAAAUGCGGAAGAGAUAAGUGCUGAAAGCAUCUAAGCACGAAACUUGCCCCGAGAUGAGUUCUCCCUGAGACUUAGAGUCUCCUGAAGGAACGUUGAAGACGACGACGUUGAUAGGCCGGGUGUGUAAGCGCAGCGAUGCGUUGAGCUAACCGGUACUAAUGAACCGUGAGGCUUAACCUUACA
rnacentral:rRNA from 1 species